CACGUAGGGCGCAAGCGUUGUCCGGAAUUAUUGGGCGUAAAGAGCUCGUAGGCGGUCUGUUGCGUCCGCUGUGAAAACCCGGGGCUUAACCCCUGGCUUGCAGUGGAUACGGACAGACUAGAGGUAGGUAGGGGAGAAUGGAAUUCCCGGUGUAGCGGUGAAAUGCGCAGAUAUCGGGAGGAACACCGGUGGCGAAGGCGGCCUUCUGGACGGUGACUGACGCUGAGGCGCGAAAGCGUGGGGAGCAAACGGGAUUGAGAUACCC
rnacentral:rRNA from 1 species